UUAACGGAGAGUUUGAUUCUGGCUCAGAACGAACGCUGGCGGCGUGGAUAAGACAUGCAAGUCGAACGGGACUUACUUAGCUUGCUUUGUAAGUUUAGUGGCGGACGGGUGAGUAACACGUGAGCAACCUGCCCAGAAGAAGGGGAUAGCUCGAGGAAACUCGAAUUAAUACCAUAUGUGAUCCUGUGAAGCAUUUCGCAGGAAUGAAAGAUGCCUUCGGGUGUCACUUCUGGAUGGGCUCGCGGCCUAUCAGUUAGUUGGUGAGGUAACGGCUCACCAAGGCAAUGACGGGUAGCUGGUCUGAGAGGACGACCAGUCACACUGGAACUGAGACACGGUCCAGACACCUACGGGUGGCAGCAGUCGAGAAUCAUUCGCAAUGGGGGAAACCCUGACGGUGCGACGCCGCGUGGAGGAUGACGGUCUUCGGAUUGUAAACUCCUGUCAUCGAAGAGUAAGGCUUAUGUAUUAAUAGUAUGUAAGAUUGAUAGUAUUCGAAGAGGAAGGGACGGCUAACUUCGUGCCAGCAGCCGCGGUAAUACGAAGGUCCCAAGCGUUGUUCGGAAUCACUGGGCGUAAAGGGAGCGUAGGCGGUGAGGUAAGUCAGAUGUGAAAUUCCAGGGCUCAACCCUGGAACUGCAUCCGAUACUGCCUUACUAGAGUAGUGGAGGGGCAUCUGGAAUUCACGGUGUAGCAGUGAAAUGCGUAGAGAUCGUGAGGAACACUAGUGGCGAAGGCGAGAUGCUGGACACUUACUGACGCUGAGGCUCGAAGGCCAGGGUAGCGAAAGGGAUUAGAUACCCCUGUAGUCCUGGCAGUAAACGGUGCACGUUUGGUGUGAGAAGGUUCGACCCUUUUCGUGCCGGAGUUAACGCGUUAAACGUGCCGCCUGGGGAGUACGGUCGCAAGACUAAAACUCAAAGAAAUUGACGGGGACCCGCACAAGCGGUGGAGUAUGUGGCUUAAUUCGAUGCAACGCGAAGAACCUUACCUAGGCUUGACAUGCAUCUCUAAACCGGUGAAAGCCGGGGAGCGGAGCAAUCCGUAAUUUGCACAGGUGCUGCAUGGCUGUCGUCAGCUCGUGUCGUGAGAUGUUUGGUUAAGUCCAGCAACGAGCGCAACCCCUGUGAUUAGUUACCAGCACGUAAUGGUGGGGACUCUAAUCAGACUGCCCAGAUCAACUGGGAGGAAGGUGGGGACGACGUCAAGUCAGUAUGGCCCUUACGCCUAGGGCUGCACACGUACUACAAUGCCCAGUACAAUGUGAACCGAGACCGCAAGGUGGAGGAAAUCCUUAAAACUGGGCUCAGUUCGGAUUGUGGGCUGCAACUCGCCCACAUGAAGUCGGAAUCGCUAGUAAUGCCGUAUCAGCUACGACGGCGUGAAUACGUUCCCGGGUCUUGUACACACCGCCCGUCACAUCAUGGAAGCCGAUCACACCCGAAGUGCAUGCGCUAACUUCGGAGGCAGUGCCCUAAGGUGAGAUUGGUAACUGGGAUGAAGUCGUAACAAGGUAGCCGUAGGGGAACCUGCGGCUGGAUCACCUCCUUU
rnacentral:rRNA from 1 species